rnacentral:rRNA from 1 species
UGUUAUCGACAUGUGAAUUCAUAGCAUGUCAGAAGGCAGACCCGGAGAACUGAAACAUCUUAGUACCCGGAGGAAGAGAAAGAAAAAUCGAUUCCCUGAGUAGCGGCGAGCGAAACGGGAAAAGCCCAAACCAACAAGCUUGCUUGUUGGGGUUGUAGGACACUCUAUACGGAGUUACAAAAGAACAUGUUAGACGAAUCAUCUGGAAAGAUG